CACCAGGCAGCUGGAACCCCACCUCCGACCAUCAUUUGCAGUUUCUUGGUUCCUGAAGGAGGAUUCCCGGAGAAACUGGUGAUGGAUCUGGGGCAUGCCAUAUUAAAGUGCUGUUCGAAUUCCGAAAAGUUGUAAGCGGUCAUCAACCCAGCGUGUUUAAUUGACUUAGCCAGAGUCAGCGAAGAGCCAACCCAGAACCCGGCUGUUGUACGGAGCCCUGCUUUCUCUCCUAAGGUCUGUAGGGGUCCACCCUUGUACCACCAGGGUGCUGGCUGCUGUCACCUCCACUUUUGUGUUGGUGUUAAUCACCUGCCCCUCUGAUCUUCAGUAAGAAAUUGCUUAGUGGCAGAGUGAGAAUGCAGGCCGGACUUGGCGAAGCCAACCUAAUCGUCCCACACCUCCUAUGAAGUUGAACUGACGUUUACUGGCUACUUGUCUGCUGGAACUCGUCUUUUAAUGCUUAUGAAAUAAUUCUUUGAAUCAGGCUUUCUAGAAAAAAGUCCAGACUCACAAGUUGAAGGGUUUCCAUAGUCCUGCUGUGGACUCCUCCUGCAUGUCCCACAGAUGUUGUCCUGAAGGAGAAUCAGGAUUCUGAGGACAAAUACUAAAUCAUUUGGCAUCAGCUCUGUUCAUCUGUUGAGUUGCAAACGGGAUGAAUUUUGUCUUUUGGGUCAAAGAGACUAUUCUUGCUAUAGAAACGAUCUGCAAAUGCUAAACCCAGUAAAUAUUUGUUUCCCAUCAACUCUGUGUAGAGCAUCUCAGAUGCUGUGAACAAGACCCCCUCCUUGCCCUUAGGCAACUCUAAAUCCAACGGAGAGAAAGACAACUACGACUUCAGCUUCCUGUGUUGGGAGUGGUGGCCACUGCUUCACCAGAGAAGGGGCAGGCUCCAAAGAAACCCACAGCAACAGAUAGGCAGGGUCAGGGAAAGCAGGACCCCCACACUUGGAUGAAGAAGGAAAGCGAAAGGAACUCAAAAGAGGGGCCAUUCUCUGAGUCCAGGUAGCAGAGGGUUUCAACUCAACUUUACAAAGAGAAAUGACAAUGAAUAUAACAAUUCUUAUCACUGUAGUUUAUGGUACAAUAAACUAUAGGGGAAGUGGUAUAAAGUUCGCAAUCUAUAGUGCAGAUGUAAUCAUGUCCCUUUCCUUAUUUUAAUAAGGGGGAGGGUUAAGGACCUCUGCUUGGUAUUGGUAAUAAUUAAUAACUGAAAUAGACAUCUCUUCUCUGAUGACUGCCAUUCAAAAUCCUGGCCACAGAAGGAGGAAACUGAGGUAAACAACAGCCCUUUGGAGUACUGCCUGAAGGAAGCCUAGUUUUGGAGCUGGGAACACUACAAAAGAACCAUUUCUGCACCUGACCAGUAAGAACAGCUUUAGUAGGAACACAGCUGAAGCCGGACGAGCAAGGCCGAGCGAGAGGCAGGGGAAGUUCAUUUCUGAUGAUCCCUGAAAUCAUCUCCCCGCAAAGAGCUCUCUUUCCUCUCCCAGAUCUGGACGCUGCCGCUGACCAUAGCCCUCCAGUGUCUCUCUGCACUCUACACUCAGUGGGGGAUUUCAGGUCAGCAUUAGGGGGAGACCGUUUAUUCCAUGGGUUGACAGUUUGCAAACUCUUCUAACCAGUGCAGGUAGGGUGGAUGCCGCCGCCCUCUGCCAAGAUCCGCACUCCUUCCAGAGUUGUCCACUGAGAGUCACGUCCUGGCGAUGCUCCUGGAGACCUUAUUCAAGGACAGCUGACCUUUUUGGCACUGUGGUUUGGAGGUGGAAAGUGGGAAGGAUGCUGGUGAGGAGGAGGUGCAGAAGGGAAGAUGGGACUGGGGUGUUUACAUGGAAUUAUGUUCCCAGAAGUGCACAGCCUCAUUUGAAAUAUUGAUUCCACUGUGAAGGUCACAGCCCAGCUUUUAUUGUGCUUUGAGAGGGGCUGUUAUACAUCUUGGUCUCGCUUUUAGAGUUGCCUCCUAUAUUGGUGGCGCUCCAGCUUUGCUGAAGUAGUGUUUAAAAAAGAAAGUAGUAAUUAUGAACUGUACACCCAGAUGCGGGGAUCAGAGUGAACGCGGAACAAAAGCUUCCCCAUAAGCCUUGGACUCCCACUGCUUCAGGGGGAAUCUGGAAUCCUCAUCGUGUCAAGCUAAAACGAGUUCUUGAAAUAAAUUAAGGAUUCGCCCUUGAAAUCCAUCCACAUUGGCUUCUCAGGGCCACAUUCUGACUUUUGCACUGUAUUGUUCAAGCCUCCGUCCUUCCCGCAGAACUGGGGCAGGGGCUGGAGGUUGGCAAGGGAAAAAAAUGUAGAUUGAAAUGUUUGAUCCUAAAGGCAACCUGUAAGAACUAUGAGAAAUAAUGAGACGGUGGUUGGUCUAAGCCACCAUAUUACUAGUAACAGAUAAAACAUAAUCCACUAGACUAAUAUUAAGCACAUUAUUACUUUUUGGGAAAUCAAAAAGGUAGGACUUACCAAAUUCCAGAAAGGUAUUUAUAUGCUAGUCUUUUAAUAGAAUCCUAAAAAUUAAUUCAACAAGCCAAAACAAACAAACAGAAACAGAAACAUGAAUAGUGUUCAUUUUGGCAUUAUUAUUUUUAAAACUUACAAUUAAUCUAAUGGAGCAAAAAUUAAUUGUAGGUUUACUAAAUUGUGAUACAUCAAUGCAUAGGGAUGGUAAAUUUCUGUUUUUUAAAAAUGAUACAAUAGAAUUCCUCUUGUGAACUCAACUGAAACCAAUGAUAAAAAAUGAAUCCUUAUUUAAAUAUUCCUUUUUACUUAAAGAAUAUAGAAUUACACUUAUAUGCCUGCCUUCUGAUGCAGAGCCAAAGCUGUUUUUGCUGCCUGGGAGUUCUACACUAUCUUUUGCAUAAUCAUAUCUACACACUGCUGUGUAUAAAAUUUGAAAACAUUUGAGAAGCUAUUUGAAUGCAAAAUGGUAUAGAUCUCCCUCUCCCAAGGUUUUUAGUUUUCUACAUCUAUGUCAGUAACCUUUAUUUUUUAGCGACUCAUUUCUAUUGAAGUUUGCAACUUAGUUUUUAUGAUUCUUUCUACACUCACAAUUAAAUGAUUUAUAUAAUACUGUCAUGUAUCACUUAACCACAGAGAGACUGUUCUGAGAAAUGGGUCAUUAGGUAAUUUGGUCAUUGUUCAAUCAUGCUAGGGUACACUCACACAAACCUCAAUGGUAUGGCCUACUACCUAGGCUACUUUGUGUUCUUACAGGAGCCCUAUGUAUGCAGUCUGCCAAUGCCUGAGACAUUAUUUUCAGUGCACGACUGUAUAUAAUUAAAUCAUGUGAUUAUAAUAUUGAGUAUGCUGACAAGAACAGAAUUUGGGGGAAAACACAGACUUUUAAUCAGAGGACAAUCCAAUAGGUGAGAGCAGAAGUGUGCAGGUGUGCCCAGAGCAGUCUCCAGUACUCAGAAUGUCCCUGACUCUGGGUCAUCAAGCUGAGCACUCAGUCAAGGCCAAGGAGACCUGUGGGUGCCAUGUAUGGGUGGUCAAGGGGAGGGCAGUAAAAGGUGUUCUGUUCUAAACAUGAAUACUACUACGAUACAGUAGCAUCAUGUUUUAAUGUUAAACGAAGAAACACUGAAUGCAGAACUGUGAUGAAGGCAGAAAGGAAUAUGAAAUGUCCAGAUGCAAAGACUGUGACGAUGAUCUCAAAAAAACAGUUCCAGCAGGAUUGGGAGGGGCACACCUGUCAUCCCAGCAACUCAGGAGGCUGAGGCAGGAGGAUCUCAAGUUCCAGGCCAGUCUCAGCAAUUUAACAAGGCCUCUUAGUAACCUAGUAAGACCCUGUCUCAAAUAAAAAAAUAAAAAGGGCUGGGGAUGUAGCUCAGUGGGAAAGUACCCCUGAGUUCAAUUCCUGGUACAAAACAAAGCAAAACAAAAACAGUUCCAAUCACCACCAAGUGAGGACUGUUAUUGUUGCCACGCAAACACACGUUCAAGCCCAAGGUCCACCCCUCAUCUCUGUUAAACUCACUUCAUGGUUGAAGACAUAGAGAUGUUUAGGCAGGACCAAGGAAAGACUUUGCCCAGCAAGCCUGUUAGAAACUUAUAAAAGUAAAACAUGAAGGGGUAGAAAGUACUUCUUAGUCAAUCUUUGUUGGAUGAAGCAUGAGUGCUGUGAAAUUUCUUUUUAUAACUAUGUCUGCAGUCCAAGGGACCAGCUUGAGUUUCUCCCAGUCUUCUGUAUUUGUAAAAUGGCAACCAUUCAGUAGCCUCUAAACAAAAUUUAUAACUCUUUUCUGACAUCCAGUCCUGUGAAGUAUUCAUCCUGGGAAUGAUUCUUGUGAUACGCUUGUAAAUUUUUGAUCAUUUUACCCUUUUUGAUAGAGAAGAGAAAUUAGUAGAGUCUAAAUUAGCUGAGAAGAAAAGAGUCAGGAUGAAAUUUCACAGUUUGGCUUGGAAAGUUAUUAUGUUUUAAUAUCACUUCCUUUAACGUUUGGAUAAUUGACGACCAUUAAACCAAAUAAUAUAAGUAAAAUUUAUUCGGCACUCAGUUCACGAGUACCAGGCAUUGUUGUAGCAGCUGGGCACACAGUGUAGAAUGUCACAAGCCCGCCUUCAGAGGACUCAUACCACCCUUGAACACUGAGACGGUGUCAGGGUUUAGCUGUGCACUCCUCUCAUUUUGUGGACAAAGAAACUGAAGCAUGGAGAGGGUGAGCUUGAACUUGCCUUUUAAUCUUGAUUUCUGACUUUUAUUAGUGAGUGAGUUAGCAAAUAGAGCAGAGUUGAUUCUAACCACACAUGAUUCUGGAAAGGCAAAAUUAUGGAGGUAGCAAAAGGAUUAGUGGUUGUCAGGGCUUGGGGGAGAAGAGGAUGAGUAGGUGGAACACAGAAGAUUAUUUUUUUUUUAUGAGAGUUGAAUUAUUCUGUGUGAUACUCUGAGGGUGGACGCAUGUUGUCCAAACCCACCAAAUGUGUAGCAGCAAGAGUGAACCCUAAUGGUAAGUGUGCACUCUGGGUGAUCACAAUGUAUCUGUGUAGGUUCACAGAUGGUGGCAAAUGCCCCCCUCUGCUGAUGAUCUUGACAAUGGGGGACACUGGUCAUGUGUGGGGACAAAGGGAAUCCAUGGGAACUCUGUCCCUUCUGCUCAAUUUUGCUGUGAACCUAAAACUGUUCUUAAAUA